UAAUACUAUAAAAAGGAGAAGUGAUGUACCAAAUUGUAAUUUUACUAGAAGUACAAGUUAUUAAGCAACAUUUACAAGGGAGUGCAAGCCAAUAUAAUAGGGAUUUGGCUUUAUUUUUAAGACGCCUGUAGGGUUAAAAUUGGGAUUUUGUAGUGAGAUUAAAUGCUGCCUCUUCAUUUCUUUCUUUAUGGCCACGGUGGUGGUUACAAUGGAUCUGGAUGAAGCGACGUUCCUUCAAGCAAGUGGUGGCGAUUUCGUGACCAGGAAAGUGAAGAGACAGAGAGACAUAAGGAGAAAUCGAAAGAGGGAGGAGGAUGAAGAUCAGGAAUUAAGAGAGGGGGCCUAUCGGUGAUGGAGACGACCGUGAAACUGCCGUCUUCAGGCGGCGGCGAUGAUGGUUUGAUGAACACCUGUUACAGUUUCUACUUAUUUUGAUAUUUUUCAUUUUUAGGUUUUCGUCAUAUCACUUAACCCCUUUCAGAUUAAUUCGUGCACCAGCCCUAAUUAGUUGUUUAAUAAUUUAAUUUACUUCAUCUUCUUUCUCCAUCUGAUCUGUUUCAUUGCAAAUUGAUGCACCCCUAUAGUUUAAUUUGCUUGUAUAUUAUUGCAAUCUGAUAAUCUUUCUGAUGCCCACCAACUGUUUGUUUGAAUGUUUGUGAUUAUGGCAACAAGGUGGACCUUCAUUGAGCUUGGAGUCAUGGAUUCAGAUCACACAGGAAUAUAUGUAACUGAAAGGACAGUGAUAUGAUAUUGAUGUUUUUAUAGAUCUUGCUAAUGACUUGUAGGGAAAGGACAGUGAUAUGAUAUUGAUUUAUACUUGAAUUGUGUUUUACUGCUGUGGUUUGAAGAUUAAUUUUGAGAUCAACUUGUUUUAGUUUCAUUGGUUCACCCUAUUACAUAAUUGGUAAUUGAAGUUGUGAUUUGAAGGUUAAUUUUGAAGAUUAGUUGCUGUUUAGUUAGUUUCAUUGAUUCACGCUGUUAUAUAAUCGGUGGUUUUAAAAGAAAAUAGUGUUAAAGAAAAGAAGAUAAAAUGGUGUUAUGAAGAAAAUUUAUGUGGAAACUUCAUCAAAAGAAAAACCAAAGGCUGUAGAAGGUCCAAAACAAGAAUACAUUCAUGUUCGAGCUCGUAGAGGUUUGGCUGAACGAAUGUUUGAAGUUCCAGCAGUCGCGUAUUCGGCUGAAGUGGCGAAUUCUGCUUAUAUUCAAGUCAAUUCGUUACUAGAAAUGGGAAAUAACCCGAUUGACGCGAUGUUAAGAAGAAGCAUUGGUGGUCCCGUUUCGAUUCCUGAAACAUUCGUUGUUUCAUCGUGUUUCAAUCAAAUGCAGCCAGGUGUGACAUGGGAUGGUGAUCUACACAAUCUAUACAGAAUGGAAAUUCAACAAGAAUCAUCAACAAUUCCAUUUCAACCCCAUAAAUUUACAGGUAAAAAGAGCAUAAAUCUAUACACGUAUUUUUUUCCAAUAUAUAUGUAUGUCUAACGUAUGUUACGUGCUAUGAAUGUGGUAAUCUGAGUUAAUUAAGCCUGCGUAACGCAAACAAUAUUAUUUAAACAUAGUUAAUAGAAACAUAGAGCUACAUACCCACAAAAGCAAAUAAUAAGUGGGUCAAAGUUCACAUAUUUGGACCAAGAAAGUUGCUUGUUGGGUAUCGGGUUGCCAUCAUAUAUUAGGAUCGGAUUAUAUUGGGCGGGUUAGAUAGCUUGUUACAAUGAGUUUGGGUUGGUACAAGUCAUUUUUAGUAUGGGUCGACCCAGGUCCCAGGUUCAUCCAGUUGGUUGACCUGCAUAUAUUUAUUUUCGGUUUUUAUCUUUUACGAAUAAUUAGUGAUGUACUUGUGGUUACAAAACAUGCUUAGUACUGUAUAGACAGCAAUGGGAAGGUUGGGUGGUUGGAUCAAUGGGAAUAGAGUAGCUGGUGAGUCUUUUGACUCUUUGGAUUUAAGUUUUAUGCUGUCAUAUCACAAGCAUCCGUGUGGGCUUGGUGAACAUUAUAACUCUGUUGUACCAGCUUAACCCAACUGGGUCAGGUAAACAUAUCAUACUUUUAAGUUUAUUUAUACCUAUUUAAGGGGACAAAAUGUGUAAACGAGCCAAGCUAAGCCCAACCCAAAUCGAGCACAAUUCCAAAUAGAGGUAAAUGGGUUGAAUAUGUUGAACGGGUCAAAAGUUGGAACAAAGUGUGUUUUUAAUACUUAUAAUUUUCUAAAUUCUUUUAAUGAUAUGGUAAAAUUUUUAUCAAAUAAACUCUUUAAUAGACUUUGGAGCAGCAAAUAAAAGAUGUUCAUAACCUUACAGAUCUUGCUGGUAGUGAGUGAAUCUUGGAAUGAACGGUGAUGUUUGAUGACUGAUACAGGUGUGGUUUCCAGCAACGGAACCGUUGGAUGUCAUGUCGGCAAUUAGGGGUGGUUUGCGCGGUGGAAAGAGAUAGUUAGAUACCCGGAAAGGGUUAGUGAAGUUGGGAGUGUAAUCGGGUGAGGUCGGAGACGGGUCAGACUUUGGGUCAACUGUGGUUAACGCAAGUAAACCGAGUCAGAUUUGGUGCUUAUAUAUAUGCACACACAACUUACAUAUGAUUCUUUUUAUUGCUUUAAGAUUUCAACCAUGUUACCA